rnacentral:rRNA from 1 species
CAAUAGCGUAUAUUUAAGUUGUUGCAGUUAAAAAGCUCGUAGUUGGAUUUCGGUUAAGAGCGACCGGUCCGCCGUUUGGUGUGCACUGGUUGGUUUUAACUUCCUGUAGAGGACGUGCUCUGGGUUUAACGACCUGGACUCGGAGUCUACGUGGUUACUUUGAAAAAAUUAGAGUGUUCAAAGCGGGCUUACGCUUGAAUAUUUCAGCAUGGAAUAACACUAUAGGACUCCUGUCCUAUUUCGUUGGUCUCGGGACGGGAGUAAUGAUUAAGAGGAACAGUUGGGGGCAUUCGUAUUUCAUUGUCAGAGGUGAAAUUCUUGGAUUUAUGAAAGACGAACUUCUGCGAAAGCAUUUGCCAAGGAUGUUUUCAUUG